GUGGGGAAUAUUGGACAAUGGGCGAAAGCCUGAUCCAGCCAUGCCGCGUGUGUGAAGAAGGUCUUCGGAUUGUAAAGCACUUUAAGUUGGGAGGAAGGGCAGUAAGUUAAUACCUUGCUGUUUUGACGUUACCGACAGAAUAAGCACCGGCUAACUUCGUGCCAGCAGCCGCGGUAAUACGAAGGGUGCAAGCGUUAAUCGGAAUUACUGGGCGUAAAGCGCGCGUAGGUGGUUUUGUAAGUUGGAGGUGAAAUCCCCGGGCUCAACCUGGGAACUGCCUCCAAAACUGCAUGACUAGAGUACGGUAGAGGGUAGUGGAAUUUCCUGUGUAGCGGUGAAAUGCGUAGAUAUAGGAAGGAACACCAGUGGUGAAGGCGACUACCUGGACUGAUACUGACACUGAGGUGCGAAAGCGUGGGGAGCAAACAGGAUUAGAAACCCUGGUAGUCC
rnacentral:rRNA from 1 species